GCGGAGUCUGCCUGGUCGGCUGGGAGGCCUAGGGGCUGUGCAGAGCAGCAGGCAGUGGAAGCCACGAACCACCCCGCUCGCCCACACUAGUCCCUGACAAGUCAUUAGAAUUCACGUCUGCGCAGGCCCUGAGGCUGCACAGUUUUAUCCAAUUUCCAUAAGAGCUGGGCUUUUGAAUUUUUUCCCACAGCUGAAAUUGCUGCUGCCUUGCUGGUGAUUCUGCAAAAAAACUCCUCUAGUCCGCCUCUAAGUUCAAUCUCCUGCCCCUGAGCCCAAGGCCAGUCUCCCUGUGAACUGCAAGGACCACGUGACUGCCGGGCCCAUUGCAGUGAGCUUGUUUUCUGCACCGUGGCUGUGUCUGCACACUGGAUGCCUCCUUGGGAUGGCCUCUCCCCCAGCAUCCACGUGAAGGUGCAGCUCGUCAGCACGCCUGGGCUGGCCCUGGUGGAGGACGCAGGGGGACAUGGCUGUGUGCAGGGAGAGGGAACACCGUGCAGUGGACAUGGCUGCCAAGGGGUGUCCAGGCCACUGCCCUGUUGGGAACGCAGUGCAGGGUGGAGACACAGCUCUGCUGUCCCAGCAGCGACCUUGAUGGCUCUGAGCCUCAUUUCCUGUGCCCACACAAUGGCCAGCA
rnacentral:lncRNA from 1 species